rnacentral:rRNA from 1 species
GAACGAACGCUGGCGGCAGGCUUAACACAUGCAAGUCGAACGCGUGUAGCAAUANNCGAGUGGCGCACGGGUGAGUAACGCGUGGAUAUCUGCCUUUUGGUUCGGAAUAACCCCGGGAAACUGGGGCUAAUACCGGAUGGUUCCUACGGGAUAAAGAUUUAUCGCCAAAAGAUGAGUCCGCGUACGAUUAGCUAGUUGGUGAGGUAAUGGCUCACCAAGGCGACGAUCNUUAGCUGGUCUGAGAGGACGAUCAGCCACACUGGGACUGAGACACGGCCCAGACUCCUACGGGAGGCAGCAGUGGGGAAUAUUGGACAAUGGGGGCAACCCUGAUCCAGCCAUGCCGCGUGAGUGAUGAAGGCCUUCGGGUUGUAAAGCUCUUUUGGCGGGGACGAUGAUGACGGUACCCGNAGAAUAA